rnacentral:sRNA from 1 species
CAAGAGUGGCCUGAAGGGCUGUGUCUAUGGACAGGAGGCAGUGCGUCUCUCCGUGGGCCCCAUGGCCCGGGACGUGGAGAGCCUGGCACUGUGCCUGCGAGCCCUGCUGUGCGAGGACAUGUUCCGCUUGGACCCCACUGUGCCUCCCUUGCCCUUCAGAGAAGAGGUCUACACCAGCUCUCAGCCCCUGCGUGUGGGGUACUAUGAGACUGACAACUAUACCAUGCCCUCCCCGGCCAUGAGGCGGGCCGUGCUGGAGACCAAACAGAGCCUUGAGGCUGCGGGGCACACGCUGGUUCCCUUCUUGCCAAGCAACAUACCCCAUGCUCUGGAGACCCUGUCAACAGGUGGGCUCUUCAGUGAUGGUGGCCACACCUUCCUACAGAACUUGUGAGUGAUAGUGGGCUUUGGGGUCUUGGUGGGAUCAGACAAGUAGGCAGACCUGGGGGAGCAGCAGGGUGUGGUGAUGCCUGGAUGGGC